AAAAAUUUAUGAUUUAAAAAAUUUAUUUUAAGUUUAAUUUAUAUGUAAAUUUUUGUAUGAAUUUUAUUGUAUUUUAAUAAUAUGAUAAUUAAAUUAAUAGUAAUUAAAAUUAAAAAUUUAAGAAAUUAAGAUUUAGGAAUAUGAUUAAUAAAUAACAAAUUUUGUGCCAGCAGUUGCGGUUAUACAAAAAUUUAAAUAAAUUUUAUUAAUAAAAAAUAAUAUAAUUUAAAUUAAAUUAAAUUUAAAAUUAUUAAGUGAAAUUUUAAUUUUAAAAAAAGUUAUAUCAAUUAAAAUUUAUGAAUUUUAAAAAUUUUAUAGUUAGACUAGGAUUAGAUACCCUAUUAUAAAAAAUUAAUUUAAAAUAUUAAAAUAGUAAAUAAUUAUUUAUUGAAACUUAAAUAAUUUGGCGGUAUUUUAGUUCAUUUAGAGGAAUCUGUUUAUUAAUUGAUAAUCCACGAAUAAUUAUAUUUAAUUUAAAAUUUUAUAUAUCGUUGUUAAAAAAAUAUUUUUUUAAAAAAAUAAUAUUUUAAAAUUUUAAAAUGAAAUUAAUUCAGAUCAAGAUGUAGAUUAUAAUUAAAUUUAAAAUGGAUUACAAUAUAAUUAUAUAAAUGGAAAAUAAUUUAAAAUAUUUAUUUGAAAGUGGAUUUAAAUGUAAUUUUAAAUAAUUUUUUAAAAUGAUUAAAAAUUGGAGUAUGUACAUAUUGCCCGUCACUUUCAUUAAAAAAUUGAAAUAAGUCGUAACAAAGUAGGGGUACUGGAAAGUGUUUCUAGAAA
rnacentral:ncRNA from 1 species